GUGAUGCGCACUGCUGUAGGGCAGAAGCUGUUCUUCAGCCUGGUGGUCCCUGCUUUAACAGUGCGGUACCGCCUGCCCGAACUCAGGGGGGAGAACAGGCUGUGGCCGGGAUGGCUGGGAUCCUGAAUGGUGGAUGGGGCUUUAUUGUGACAGCGGAUGGUGUGAAUCCCACUGACUGAUGUUAAGUCACAGCCUAUAAUCCUCUGUGCUGUUGCCACAGCCCUGUGUGGAGCAUCUCUGUCACAUAUGGUAGUAUUGCUGUACCACACAGUGAUCAUUGUAAGCUUAUUAUUCAUCCCUUGGUUCAGUCUGCUUGUCCUGGUCAGAGUCAUGGAAAUCAUGCCAAAGAAGGAGAAGAUCUGGAUGAAGUGCUAAGGAAUUUUACUGCCUUUAACUGUUUUCCCAGCUGACGUUACAGAAAGGAAAGACCCAGCAUUUCUAAAGGACGAAAUUCUGUUUUGCCAUUUUUGGUAAUGGUGGCGACCACACACGAACAUGAAAUUAAUUAACUAAUUCAUUUCAGUGAAUUAAAAAUGAUUAAAAAGCAGGCUUCGCAGUGGCAGCUAUGGGAUGCAGAGGGGAGGCCAGUGGCUUGGUCAUACUGGGGUAGAGGCUCUUCAGCAGGAAGAUGACAGAAGCACGUCUCAGAUUUUCUCCUGGAGUCAGGCCUCUUGGCUCCAGGUUUGUCUUGUCAACUCAAAUACAUUCUAAUGAGCAUCACCGUGAACUGGUGGGAUUUGCAUCUCUUAAACCUGUGAUGUACUGUAUGGAGGAGCACAGUUCUUCCACACAGCUCACGGGAGACAGCUCCCCAGGUCAAAUUGCAAUUGAAAAAUUGCUGACACUGGUCAUGUUCUGUGCGCGUUGCAAUAUAGCUGUGCACUUCAAAUAUUUGACACGCCUUGCAUUUUUACCAUUGAUUCGCAGCCAGCAACCAAAACAUGCCUUGUCUAACCAGUUCUGACUUCAAGAUUCUAGUCUGUUUCACUCUCUGCUGGGAUUCCAAUGUCC
rnacentral:lncRNA from 1 species